rnacentral:lncRNA from 1 species
CACGCGUGUCACAGCUGGCGUGUAGAGCCCUCUCUGCGGGUAGGGCAGAGAUGGCGAACCUAUGGCACGCGUGUUACAGCUGGCGUGUAGAGCCCUCUCUGCAGACACGCAGAGCCCUAAGUCGCUGGACCACUACCCCCAGCAACCAAACCCGAGGAGGCGGCUGCAACUGCACUGCUUACUACCCCCGGCAACCAAACCUGAGGAGGCGGCUGCAACCGCACUCCUAGUACCCCGACAGGCAGUGUGCCAGGAUCCAGAGCAGCUAGCGCUGGCGGGGGUUGGGCACGACUGGAGGUGGGUCUGGAAUGGGGUCUGGAGGCACCUUCCUACCCAGGAUUCCCCCUUCCGCCACUGCGCGUUGGUUUUUUUUUUCCUUUGUUUUUUUUUUCCAGUUUGGGGACUCGGGCUGAAAAAGGUUCGCCACCAGUGCUCUAGGGCCAUGUCUACACAACAAAACAGCCAUUUGUUUUCCCUAGGGAAUUAUCGUGGGAGGUCUAUCAGCAGACAGCAGUUCCCAGAAUUCCUUGGGGAAUCUGCUUGGGAAUCAUACAGAUCUGUGGGGAAAGAGCUCUUGAUAACACCCUACUCUUUGGAUGUUACUGCGGUCUUGCAUGUGAUGUAGCAGGGAAUGGAAGCAAGAAUGCUCUGUAUAUGUAAGUGUGUAUUCAGGAUUCAUCAUCUGCACCUGACAUACAACUACUUGUGUCUUUAGAUAGCCAUGACACAAAAUGCCCUCCUUUUGACCAAAGAAAGAUCCUCUACAUUUGACAGAAACCUAUUAGACAGAAUGUAGUCACAUCCAGGCCCAGUGGGCCUAAUUUCUUCCAGCCUUUACAGCACUGGACCAUGUUAGGCCUUGGUAUCCUAGCAACAACCCUCCCUUUACACCACCCUGGUAGGAAUCCUGUUGAUAACCCUUCUGUUGGAAUGUCUGUAUCUGAGACUGAACCCCAGUCAUGGAGAGACUUGGAAUGAGUCGCUCUUCCCCGUGUGUGCGGUCCAAGUUUUAA